rnacentral:rRNA from 1 species
UGGGGAAUAUUGGACAAUGGAGGGAACUCUGAUCCAGCAAUUCUGUGUGUGUGAAGAAGGUUUUAGGACUGUAAAACACUUUUAGUAGGGAAGAAAAAAAUGACGGUACCUACAGAAGAAGCAACGGCUAAAUACGUGCCAGCAGCCGCGGUAAUACGUAUGUUGCGAGCGUUAUCCGGAAUUAUUGGGCUUAAAGGGCAUCUAGGCGGUAAGACAAGUUGAAGGUGAAAACCUGUGGCUCAACCAUAGGCUUGCCUACAAAACUGUUGAACUAGAGUACUGGAAAGGUGGGUGGAACUACACGAGUAGAGGUGAAAUUCGUAGAUAUGUGUAGGAAUGCCGAUGAUGAAGAUAACUCACUGGACAGAAACUGACGCUGAAGUGCGAAAGAUAGGGGGGCAAACAGG